AGAAAUUAACAAGUACUAAUGCAGUCCUUUGCAUGCUAUUUCAUCUUCAAUUUCAAUGAACCUUUAUCUUAAUAUAUAACCCAAAAAUAGUUUCUACAUUUGUUUCAAUCUGCGCAAGAGAUGUUUUUGGAAGCUCUUUUAUAAAAUUAUAAGACUUCUCAUUUACUUUAGUUUAAGUGUCACUCAUUAGAUUCAGUAAUAUACUAAUUUAUAUAAUAUCUUCUAUGGUGCCAAUUUUACAUAUAGUUGAAAGCUUAUGCUACUGCACGAAUUGAUAGUACUCGAUAAACUAUGCUCAAGUAGAUAUAUUAUGUGCAUUGAGAACCUUUUGCAACUAUCUGCAGGGACAAAUUAG